GCGGCUAAAGAGACCUUCAGGCACUUCCAGUCCUUUCUGCACUCCUGGAAGGUUUUUAAGGAAAAAAAGAAGAAGAAAAUAAAAUGACACAUCCUUUGGUUUCGAUAGCACCCUCUGUACUUGUACUUAUCUCUUAGACGUGGUUGGCCAAAAAGUCUGCUAAAAAUAUAAUGAAAGGGAGGCGGUGGAGUGUGGGGAGAGAGAAAUAAAACACUAACCCUGUUCAUUUCUGCCUGCCUCCCACCACAAAUUCACCACAACAUUUAAGUGUAGCUCCAUCUGCCCCUCUUCUCAGUCCCUUUUUGGCGCUUGACUGUUAUUUUUUCAAUAAAAGGGAAAAGUACUCUCAUUCUAUUCUUUCUACGGGGCUCCAGAGUCUCGGAGACUGAGAACAUCUCUCUAGCCUGAAGCGGGUCUGAAGUCUUCUGAGAUCACUGCUUCCCGGGAGAGUUUCUGCAAGACAGAAAGAGAGAACCUCAUUCUUCCCAUUGUGCUGAGAGAGGCACAGAGAAAGACAAAACCAUCGCCUGGGGUCACAGAGGGCAGUGGCUGUGAUGGAUCUGAGGCCAACUCCAUCCCCAGAUCCUGCCUAGCAACUUCCUUCUGGGACGAAGGACCCAGGACAUGUCACAGUCCCUCUAAUUCAUCCAGCCCAACAUCUGUCCUCUGAACCCUGUGCACACUCAUCCAGAUGGCACAGAACGGCCACCUUUCUGGGAAGCAGAAUUCUCUAAGGCUUUGAGGCUAGGUCUUAUGGGAUUGUC
rnacentral:lncRNA from 1 species